rnacentral:rRNA from 1 species
UACGAAGGGGGCUAGCGUUGCUCGGAAUCACUGGGCGUAAAGGGUGCGUAGGCGGGUCUUUAAGUCAGUGGUGAAAUCUCCGGGCUUAACCCGGAAACUGCCAUUGAUACUAUUUGUCUUGAAUACUGGGGAGGUCAGCGGAAUAUGUCAUGUAGCGGUGAAAUGCUUAGAUAUGACAUAGAACACCAAUUGCGAAGGCAGCUGGCUACACAAAUAUUGACACUGAGGCACGAAAGCGUGGGGAUCAAACAGG